rnacentral:tRNA from 2 species
UAAAUUAAAGCCAAAAAGAGGCAUUUUAUUGUUAAUAAAAUAAUUGAAUUAAAAUAUUCUAAUUUAA